GGAGAGUUGGCCGAGUCGGUUGAAGGCGCUCGCCUGCUAAGCGAGUAAGGGGUAAUAAGCCCCUUCGAGGGUUCGAAUCCCUCACUCUCCGCCA
rnacentral:tRNA from 1 species